GAUGAACGCUGGCGGCGUGCCUAAUACAUGCAAGUCGAACGCAUUGUGGUUGAAAUGAUAUGAAGAACUUGUUCAGAUUUGAUUUUCAACAUUGCAAUGAGUGGCGAACGGGUGAGUAACACGUGGGAAACCUACCUCUUAGCAGGGGAUAACAUUUGGAAACAAAUGCUAAUACCGUAUAAUAAUUAAAACCGCAUGGUUUUAGUUUAAAAGAUGGUCUUGCUAUCACUAAGAGAUGGUCCCGCGGUGUAUUAGUUAGUUGGUGAGGUAAUGGCUCACCAAGACAAUGAUACAUAGCCGAGUUGAGAGACUGACCGGCCACAAUGGGACUGAGACACGGCCCAUACUCCUACGGGAGGCAGCAGUAGGGAAUCUUCCACAAUGGACGAAAGUCUGAUGGAGCAACGCCGCGUGUGUGAUGAAGGGUUUCGGCUCGUAAACACUGUUGUAAGAGAAGAAUGACAUUGAGAGUAACUGUUCAAUGUGUGACGGUAUC
rnacentral:rRNA from 1 species